CAAAAUGAAAACAAACAAAAUAAAUUAAUUAACUUGGGCCGACCCAAAUAAAUUCAAAUCAAGUCCAAAUGUCCUGAACAAUUGUUUUUUUUAAAGAGUGUUGGGCCAUCAAAUUCCCUUAUAUUUUUUAGCCCAACUCCACAAAUAAUAUGUUGAGCCCAAAUGCUUCAUGGAAAAUAUAGAUUUCAAGCCCAACAAACUCUUCAUCUCCUUCUCUAACGCAUGGAGACUCUCCAAAAUCUACCAUGAUCUUCAACCUUCCAUUUCUCUCAUUCAAUUCUGCAAAAAAAAGAAGAGUCUCCCAACCUAAAUCUUAUGUUCAUUUAUCUCCUCCCUACCCUUUCACUUCAACAUUUCAAGCAAAAACCAGUGAGAGAGAGGGAGAGCCGAGAUUGAGAGAGUGGAAGAAAUUUGCUGCCGUUUUGUUUCAAUCACAACCAAGCCAAGGUAAAUUCUUUUCACCAAAUCAUAGCUCAAGCAAAUCAAUUCUAUUCCAAUUCAAAACAAUUGCUCAACCUGUGACAGAAACAAUCUGCCAAGCCAAGGAGUUCAUCCCUCUCGGCCCAACCAAUUUCAUAACAACGAAGGUGGUUCGCACGCUCGCUAAAGUUGGAUCGAGAAGCUAUGUAAGGAAAAUUCUAAGCGUUUGAGGUUGAGCGUGGACGGGAGACGGAUGAUGUUGAGCAUUGGACCGAGACCAUAUUCAAUAAACGUUCUGGUUGCUAUUGUAUCUUCAUACAUAGUAGUAUCUAACUCUCAAAUGCUUCCGCUACUCUAAGUCUUAAAAACUCUUAUGUUUUCUUUAAUCAGUUAGACUAUUUUUUUUCAAACUAUGUUGCUUCGUGAUCUGAGACUAUGAUUUGAUAAUGAAGUUUCGUCUUUUGAUCUA